UUUUUUUUUUUUUUAAAAAAAAUGAAAAACUCUUAACUGGAGCAAACAACCGUCUGUUGAACUCAAGUGGUCAUUGUUGACCAAGACGGCAGCUUGAGCCGAAUAACAGUACAGAGUGAAAACCAAUAUACAGAUGCUCCUAGAUCACAUAGGCUAAGAAUAGGUAGCUAUAUACAUAAAUAUGUACAAGCAGGCAGGUUACCAUUGGAUAGUUGGCUUGGUCUUCAUAUGAUAGUGAGAUGUAUAAGCCUCAAGUGCCCAUAGCACUCAUCAC
rnacentral:misc_RNA from 1 species